AAGGGCACCACAAGAACGCGUGGAGCAUGUGGCUUAAUUUGACUCAAGCGCGGAAAUCUUACCGGGUCCGGACACACUGAGGAUUGACAGGUAACAUCUCAUAAUCGCUUCGGCAUGUGUGGGUAUAAAUAUGCUAGGCUUUCAUGAUUAUGUGAUAGGUGGUGCAUGGCCGUUCUUAGUUCGUGGAGUGAUCUGUCUGCUUAAUUGCGUUUCACUAUUGGAUCUAUAUACCGUGCAUGUGUUGCGGCAUUGACCCCAUUGAUUUCACUAUCAAUGCGCGCGUCUUUCGCUUAGCUCACUGCGCUUUAGAUCCUGAAAGCAACGAACGUGACCGCAACCUCUUGUUGCUUUCAUACCCAAUGCGUNUAUACACUCGUGUAUAUCGCGUUUUAUAAAGCUUAUACAUGUAUUGCUACGGCCAUUACAUCACAAACUAGAGGGACCGCUGUUACUUUCUUUAAACCCAGAGGAAAGGUUGCGGGCAAAUAACAGGUCUGUGAUGCCCUUAGAUGUUCCGGGCUGCACACGUGCUACAAUGAUUAUUGCAGUGAGCAUCUCAUCUUUUACUACACCGCAUGCGCGAGUCUAUUUGUCUGCUCUGCUUUGGCUAGCUGCUCAAAUACGAUCUCUGCGCGCGGUAAAGCCUACUUCGAAAGUAAGCGGGUAAUCAAAUUAGAAGUAAUGAUUUCCUAUUUUCUCUGCACACAUAUAUGCGGCACAUCUACCCGGCAUGCCUUGUUGCAUGUUCUUUGUGCGUAGNUGUGUACCCCUUUUUCCGCAUGUGCAAUUGUCAAUUCAUGGUGGGGACAGACCAUUNUUCAAUUGUUGGUCUCGGUCUUAACUAGGAAUGCCUUGUACGGGUCUUUGGUUCAACAAACCACCCGGAAUACNUCCCUGCCCUUUGUACACACCGCCCGUCGCUCUUACCGAUGGACUUCUCUGUGAGUUUGAGGGACUGUCUUUGGCUGUUAUACGUCUCGGCNNNNNCUACCAUCUUAGGAAACUUAAACGAACAG
rnacentral:rRNA from 1 species